rnacentral:rRNA from 1 species
GACGAACGCUGGCGGCGUGCCUAAUACAUGCAAGUAGAACGCAGUUGCGAACGGGUGAGUAACGCGUAUGUAACUGCCUCAUAGCGGGGGAUAACUAUUGGAAACGAUAGCUAAUACCGCAUACUGUGAGAUGGACCUGCGUUGUAUUAGGUAGUUGGUGGGGUAAAGGCUCAACAAGGUGACGAUACAUAGCCGGCCUGAGAGGGAGAACGGCCAAAAGUGGACUGAGACAAGGGCCAGACUCCGACGGGAGGGAGCAGGAGGGAAUUAUCGGAAAUGGAGGGAAGGCUGACCGAGCAACGCCGCGUGAGAGAAGAAGGGUUUCGGGUCGGAAAAGUAUGUUGAGAGGGGAGCGGUAACUAAAGAAAAAGGGACGGCUAACUACGUGCCAGCCGCCGCGGUAAUAC